rnacentral:rRNA from 1 species
GACGAACGCUGGCGGCGUGCUUAACACAUGCAAGUCGAACGGAAAGGCCCUGCUUUUGUGGGGUACUCGAGUGGCGAACGGGUGAGUAACACGUGAGUAACCUGCCCUUGACUUUGGGAUAACUUCAGGAAACUGGGGCUAAUACCGGAUAGGAGCUCCUGCUGCAUGGUGGGGGUUGGAAAGUUUCGGCGGUUGGGGAUGGACUCGCGGCUUAUCAGCUUGUUGGUGGGGUAGUGGCUUACCAAGGCUUUGACGGGUAGCCGGCCUGAGAGGGUGACCGGCCACAUUGGGACUGAGAUACGGCCCAGACUCCUACGGGAGGCAGCAGUGGGGAAUAUUGCACAAUGGGCGGAAGCCUGAUGCAGCAACGCCGCGUGCGGGAUGACGGUCUUCGGGUUGUAAACCGCUUUCGCCUGUGACGAAGCGUGAGUGACGGUAAUGGGUAAAGAAGCACCGGCUAACUACGUG